rnacentral:tRNA from 1 species
UUAAUUUUGCAAUGAAAAUGUAAUGUUUUUUUUAAACUAUAUUAAUAGAAAUUUAAACAUUUUUUUUGCUU